UAACCUGCUAACUAGUUUACGAAACGCAAGUUUCGGCAAACUUCUUAGAGGGACUAUCUGUGACUAACAGAUGGAAGUUUGAGGCAAUAACAGGUCUGUGAUGCCCUUAGAUGUUCUGGGCCGCACGCGCGCUACACUGAUAAAGGCAACGAGUAUUCACCUUAACCGGAAGGUUUGGGUAAUCUUUUGAAACUUUAUCGUGAUGGGGAUUGAGCAUUGCAAUAAUUGCUCAUGAACGAGGAAUUCCUAGUAAGCGCAUGUCAUCAGCAUGCGCUGACUACGUCCCUGCCCUUUGUACACACCGCCCGUCGCU
rnacentral:rRNA from 1 species